rnacentral:rRNA from 1 species
AUUGAACGCUGGCGGCAGGCCUAACACAUGCAAGUCGAACGGUAACAGGAAGAAGCUUGCUUCUUUGCUGACGAGUGGCGGACGGGUGAGUAAUGUCUGGGAAACUGCCUGAUGGAGGGGGAUAACUACUGGAAACGGUAGCUAAUACCGCAUAACGUCGCAAGACCAAAGAGGGGGACCUUCGGGCCUCUUGCCAUCGGGUGUGCCCGGAUGGGAUUAGCUAGUAGGUGGGGUAACGGCUCACCUAGGCGACGAUCCCUAGCUGGUCUGAGAGGAUGACCAGCCACACUGGAACUGAGACACGGUCCAGACUCCUACGGGAGGCAGCAGAGGGGAAUAUUGCACAAUGGGCGCAAGCCUGAUACAGCCAUGCCGCGUGUAUGAAGAAGGCCUUCGGGUUGUAAAGUACUUUCAGCGGGGAGGAAGGGAGUAAAGUUAAUACCUUUGCUCAUUGACGGUACCCGCAGAAGAAGCACCGGCUAACUCCGUG